UGGGGAAUAUUGCACAAUGGGCGCAAGCCUGUUGCAGCCAUGCCGCGUGUAUGAAGAAGGCCUCCGGGUUGUAAAGUACUUUCAGCGGGGAGGAAGGGAGUAAAGUUAAUACCUUUGCUCAUUGACGUUACCCGCAGAAGAAGCACCGGCUAACUCCGUGCCAGCAGCCGCGGUAAUACGGAGGGUGCAAGCGUUAAUCGGAAUUACUGGGCUUAAAGCGCACGCAGGCGGUUUGUUAAGUCAGAUGUGAAAUCCCCGGGCUCAACCUGGGAACUGCAUCUGAUACUGGCAAGCUUGAGUAUCGUAGAGGGGUGUAGAAUUCCAGGUGUGGCGGUGAAAUGCGUAAAGAGCUGGAGGAAUACCGGUGGCGAAGGCGGCCCCCUGGACGAAGACUGACGCUCAGGUGCGAAAGCGUGGGGAGCAAACAGG
rnacentral:rRNA from 1 species